CCUACGGGUGGCAGCAGUCGAGAAUCAUUCACAAUGGGGGAAACCCUGAUGGUGCGACGCCGCGUGGGGGAAUGAAGGUCUUCGGAUUGUAAACCCCUGUCAUGUGGGAGCAAAUUAAAAAGAUAGUACCACAAGAGGAAGAGACGGCUAACUCUGUGCCAUCAGCCGCGGUAAUACAGAGGUCUCAAGCGUUGUUCGGCAUCACUGGUCGUAAGGCGUGCGUAGGCUGUUUCGUAAGUCGUGUGUGAAAGUCGCGGGCUCAACCCGCGGACGGCACAUGAUACUGCGAGACUAGAGUAAUGGAGGGGGAACCGGAAUUCUCGGUGUAGCAGUGAAAUGCGUAGAUAUCGAGAGGAACACUCGUGGCGAAGGCGGGUUCCUGGACAUUAACUGACGCUGAGGCACGAAGGCCAGGGGAGCGAAAGGGAUUAGAUACCCCAGUAGUC
rnacentral:rRNA from 1 species